rnacentral:rRNA from 1 species
CUCAACCUCGAGAUUGCCUCUGAUACUGGUGGACUUGAGUGCAGGAGAGGGUAGCAGAAUUCCCAGUGUAGCGGUGAAAUGCGUAGAUAUUGGGAGGAAUACCAGUGGCGAAGGCGGCUAUCUGGACUGUAACUGACACUGAGGCGCGAAAGCGUGGGGAGCAAACAGGAUUAGAUACCCUGGUAGUCCACGCCGUAAACGAUGAGUGCUAGGUGUUGCGGGUAUCGACCCCUGCAGUGCCGCAGUUAACACAAUAAGCACUCCGCCUGGGGAGUACGGUCGCAAGACUGAAACUCAAAGGAAUUGACGGGGGCCCGCACAAGCGGUGGAGUAUGUGGUUUAAUUCGACGCAACGCGAAGAACCUUACCAGGGCUUGACAUCGCGCGAAAGCCAUAGAGAUAUGGUCCUACCCUUCGGGGUACGC